rnacentral:rRNA from 1 species
CCUACGGGUGGCAGCAGUCGAGAAUCAUUCACAAUGGGGGAAACCCUGAUGGUGCGACGCCGCGUGGGGGAAUGAAGGUCUUCGGAUUGUAAACCCCUGUCAUGUGGGAGCAAAUUAAAAAGAUAGUACCACAAGAGGAAGAGACGGCUAACUCUGUGCCAGCAGCCGCGGUAAUACAGAGGUCUCAAGCGUUGUUCGGAACCACUGGGCGUAAGGCGUGCGUAGGCUGUUUCGUAAGUCGUGUGUGAAAGGCGCGGGCUCAACCCGCGGACGGCACAUGAUACUGCGAGACUAGAGUAAUGGAGGGGGAACCGGAAUUCUCGGUGUAGCAGUGAAAUGCGUAGAUAUCGAGAGGAACACUCGUGGCGAAGGCGGGUUCCUGGACAUUAACUGACGCUGAGGCACGAAGGCCAGGGGAGCGAAAGGGAUUAGAUACCCGGGUAGUC